AAAUGUACAUGUCGAGUCUUUUACUCCAUGUUUCUCUCAAGUCUAUAAUUCACUAAGUUUCAUUCCUUACAUACUCGGUGCGUCAUUUGUACUGACGUCCCUUUUACCUAGGGACACUGCAUUUCAUGCCAGCGGGUCCCGAUAGACAGGUCGAAAGCCCUCCAAGCAGGCGAUCAGUUCAGCGAAAGAUGUUGGUGCACUUCAUUUAUUUUAGAGUUGCUUGUUUGGUUAGUAUGAUUUAAACGUUUAUUGUUUGGUAUGGUGGAAUUAUGUUCCGGCCUUUAUGAAGAAUAUGUGUUCUUAGAGGCUUG
rnacentral:lncRNA from 1 species